AGCGGUGGGGUAGCCAUGAGAUCCCGACGGGCUCAUAACCCGUAGAUCGAUGGUUCGAAUCCAUCCUCCGCUA
rnacentral:tRNA from 1 species